UUUCCGGGUUGAUCCUGCCGGGACCUGACUGCUAUCGGAUUGAUACUAAGCCAUGCGAGUCAUUGUAGUAAUACAAGGCAGACGGCUCAGUAACGCGUAGUCAACCUACCCUAUGGACGGGGAUAACCUCGGGAAACUGAGAAUAAUACCCGAUAGAACAUUAUACCUGGAAUGGUUUAUGUUUCAAAUAAUUUAUUGCCGUAGGAUGGGACUGCGGCCUAUCAGUUUGUUGGUGAGGUAAUGGCCCACCAAGACUAUUACAGGUACGGGCUCUGAGAGGAGUAGCCCGGAGAUGGGUACUGAGACACGGACCCAGGCCCUAUGGGGCGCAGCAGGCGAGAAGACUUUGCAAUGUGCGAAAGCACGACAAGGUUAAUCCGAGUGGUUUCUGCUAAAGGAACCUUUUGUCAGUCCUAGAAACACUGGUGAAUAAGGGGUGGGCAAGUUCUGGUGUCAGCCGCCGCGGUAAAACCAGCACCUCAAGUGGUCAGGAUGAUUAUUGGGCCUAAAGCAUCCGCAGCCUGCUUUGUUAGUUUUCGGUUAAAUCCAUACGCUUAACGUAUGGGCUGCCGGGAAUACUGCAAAGCUAGGGAGUGGGAGAGGUAGACGGUACUCGGUAGGAAGGGGUAAAAUCCUUUGAUCUAUUGAUGACCACCUGUGGCGAAGGCGGUCUACCAGAACACGUCCGACGGUGAGGGAUGAAAGCUGGGGGAGCAAACCGGAUUAGAUACCCGGGUAGUCCCAGCUGUAAACUAUGCAAACUCGGUGAUGCAUUGGCUUGAUGCCAAUGCAGUGCCGCAGGGAAGCCGUUAAGUUUGCCGCCUGGGAAGUACGUACGCAAGUAUGAAACUUAAAGGAAUUGGCGGGGGAGCACCACAAGGGGUGAAGCCUGCGGUUCAAUUGGAUUCAACGCCGGG
rnacentral:rRNA from 1 species